rnacentral:sRNA from 1 species
ACAUUAACAGAUCAGAUCCAUAUAAAUCCUAUAAAAUACCUAUAUAUCUUUGCCAGAACUUCAGCCGCAGGUUGUCAAGAGAAUACCCAAAAUUUCGAAAAGGCAUACCCAAAAUAUACCCAACACUUAAGCAAUCGAUUCACGUUUGCAAUUACUACGUGAAGCACAUAAUCCCCGAGCCCGAACCCGAUCCCGAUCCCAGUCCCCGAUCAAAGUUCGAAUAACAAGUUUUUUAUGUUUCGAAUGGGAGAAAAGCCAAGUCGAUGCCACAGAUACUCGUACGUUUAAAUCGUUUAAAUUUCUUCCGUAGUUAGUUUUUACAGACCAAUUAAUCAUUUCAUUUACGAGCAUGUUUCGUGACAGCCCAAAAAUUACCCCAAAGGAGAAGUGCUGUGUGCGGUUUGACUGAUUGAAGAUCGAAUCCUCUUGUAAGCGGCUUAUCAAGGGAGCUGCUGGCACCUCCAGGGGGGUUAUUCACUCAAGGGACUCUCCACUCACCCGUUCCGGUGUUAGGCAAACCUCGAAACAGGUCGAAAGCCCUGCCCCUGCCCCAGCCCCAGCCCCUGUCUCGAGACUGCGAAACGUGCCUCAAUUAAACAUUUAGUAUGCUGUGAGGAAAUUGUUUCAAGUUCAAGUUAAAGUGUGCCGGCAAAAGCAGAAAAACAGAAAACAUGUUCAAUAAUUCAUUCGAGAGCUCUCUCUGUCCGUCCGUCUGUCUGUCCUUUUCCUGUGAGGUGAAAGUGAAUGUUCUUUUGGUGGUUUAUGGCCACGUCGGCAACUGUUGAUCUGGCAGCCUGGCCGGCUCUCCUCUGAUGUCAUUUGUCGCGCGGUUUGUGGCCGCUGUGGCACUUGCCUCCCCCUCUCUCUCUCGGUUGCCGCCUGUCACGUUUCAGGCAUUUGCAUGGCCUGCCACAUACGAAUGCACUCGUGCAACAAUGGAAUUCUGGGCUCCGCAGCAUAUGCACGAGCUGCAGUUGCACCUGAUUGCACUUUAUUCCAACGACAGGGACUGACAAGCGGCACACUGGGCUUUGAGGGACUAUUUCUGAGGCAAAACCCGACUUUUAUGGGUCUUAAAAGGGUGGUCUAUGGCCUGAUGUCAAGCACCCUAGAGCUUUAUGCAAAUCUCAGAUUAAUUAUCCAGCGAUAAGCUAUUGUUUUUGAGACAAUACAUGAUUUACGAUUGAUGAAUCAAGUAUCCGUCAUGUGUUUCAAUUUGCAUUCAAUUGUUAAAAGAAUGUUGGGAGUUGUCGGGGGAAAAAGAGCUUCCUGCUUGAGAUUCCCGGGAAGAUCUUUGACCCACAGUUCUCCCUGAUAGAUUGCUCUAUUUAAACCCUCAAUAUGUUUGUGGCUAAUCGUUAACUUAAUUGUUACAGGGCCGCCAUGCUUGACCCCCACCAAAGGUGAGAAAGCAAAUCCGAUUUCGCUUCGCUGCAACCAGUGUGCCCCGUGCCGUGCCGCCUCUCCGACACUGGGCCACAAAUCGUUUAGCGGUCAAUAUUAGCCUCAGGUACGAGCCCGAGACCGAGACCGAGUCCGAGUGUAACCUUUUAAGCUCUAACCUUGGUGUCUGCCUCAAGCAACACCUGAUAUGGAUCAGUGUGUGGCAUGGGAGUGGAGUGGAGUGGCAGCUAAUUGAAAGCUCUUGCUCUUGCCACAUGGUGGGAAAUUCUAUGACCAUAAAGAUGUCAUCUCCUGCGGUUUGCAGAGGGAGAAAUAUAUCAGAGAUAUCAGCCCCAAAGAAUUCACUUUUGGGAGGCAAAAACAAAGCAAAACUCGUUUGGCCCGAAAGCCAGUUCAUAUAUUGGUUAUUACUCCACGCUUUGUUUUUAUUUUUAUUUUGUGUGUCAAUAAUUAAGCAAAAAAGUGAAACAAUUAAGGUGGAACAGGGGAAUACUCUUUGGGGAGGGAUAGAAGGAAGUUUAGGGGGUCUAGAGAUACAGAUAGACUUAGAUAUUGGGCAGAUCUUCUCGAGAGAUCUAGGAGUUAAACAAACAGCCCCAAACUUUAGUUAGAAGAAUCCCAAAUGGCCCUGGUCUCAAUCGAAAUUCCCUCUCAAAACGCGUCUUAAUGAAAUUGUAUCUUUCACUGAUCGGAAUGCACGCGUAUCUCCACACACAGGAGGCGUCGCAAUCUUUUAUACAAUCAACAGGUUUGUGGGUCUGUCAGUCUAUCUUUCUGGCUGGCAAUUACUCGCACUCGCACACCCUCUACCUAUAAUGUUAUCAGAAGUACUAUGUGUGUACAUGCGAGUAGACGAUGGCUGAUAACUGGCAUUGAUUCAACAAAGAACCUUGUCAUUUGCGCUUGAGUUUAGUUGAAGUUGUCGUUGCGGGGCAACGCGAUGGGCAACAUGUGGCAGCCGUUGGAGCGCAACGAUUGCAGAAAGCUGCUGGCCCAGACCAGACCAAGACCAAGACCAGGCACAGCAGUUGCCUGCUGCACCGACCACUCACCUGGAACACAUAGAUGAAUAUGUGAAAUGUGCAGAUGGCCUGGAAGAUCGAGAGCAGGCAGCACCAGUGGCCCUGCCAGCGGCUCAUGGCACC